UUAAAGGGAAACUUCGCAAAAAAAUCAAAAAUUGAUAUUAUGUUUAUUCUGUAUAAAAAUGCUCAAAUUCAUAGAUAUUAAAGUUUUAUUCUGCUAGAUAAGAGAUCACCAUCGAUUUUAAAUUUAGAGUAUCAAUUCUCUGCGGUCAGCCAUUUUGUCACCUUCUCCGAUUUGCAGUCACGAUAUGUCUAAGGACCAAAACUACAGUAACCCGAUGUAGUCGUAAUUGCGUGUCGAUAUCUCGUCAAUCGUACGGUUGUUUUAUCCGACUAGUUAACUAGUUAACUAACUUGAUACGGAAAAUUUUCUUCUUUUUUUUUAAAUAACCAUGAUCUGUUAUUUUUAGACUGAUAAUAUAGGAAUUUAAUAGUGAAAAAGUCAAAAUUUCAAAUCAUAAAUAAGUCUUCCGUGAAACUUGAAUUGUUUUCGGAAAUCUAAUUAGUUCAUAAUUCUUUUAUGUAAUAAACUUUAUUCAAAUAAAUUAGGAUCUUCGCUCCACUGAUCACCCGCAUGGCUAAAGGUAUUACUCCCAAAGAUAUUGUAGGGGGUGUGAGGUGACACGUCCAGGUAUUCAAGCGAUUUCCUGUCGAGUUUGCAAAUUCAUGCAUCGUUUCACUUCUUAGUGUAUUGAUAAGUGUACACGGCCGAUAACUUAUAACUUUCCAUUUUGAACUAUUAGGUGUAUAAUAUACAUCUCUAUCUUGCGUGUCCGAAAGUGAUAUUACUAAACUCAUACGCUUGUUUAUGAAUAACAUUUCUGGUGAAAAGAAAAUUAUUUAUAAAAAUAUAAAUAAUACCAAAAAAAACCAAACAGAUUUGAUGAAAUAAAAAUCUAUAUACGUAUUUUUUCCAAGGGUAAAUUUGGUAAAAUGUAAUAUAUACUCGUUGUCAAUGGUGAAGGCCAGAAAUAUUGAUUUAAAAAAAUGUACGCACUUGUCGACCAUUCGUAUAUACGCCUGGAUUAUAAGUUACGGACCUAUAGCGCAAAUUAAAACAUAUACAUGUAUACAUAGAACAUAAGAAAGAAACAUACAUUUUGCGUAAAUUGGGGUAAAAGUUUUGUAAAAUGACAAGUCCACGUAUGCCAACACAGUAUGUAAUCAAUAAAUGACGAUAGACUAUUAGUAUACCAAAAGAAGAAGAAGAAGAGAUUUAAAUACAGGUCGAUAUAUAACUUUAUUUGGCUCAUCGAAGUUAUGGACAUUUAUAUAUCAAUUAGAUUGUUCUCGAAAAAAGGAAGAAAUUCGCCAUCAUCACAAUUGUUCCGACAUGCAUGUAAUAUAUACGCAACUGGAAGUACACUAAUACCGAGGGAUGUGAAUAUUUUCCAGGAAAACUAUAGAGUAUCAAAGUUUCAAAUCAAUUUCGGGAUUUAUUUUCUCUCUUGAUAUUCAAUGACAGCAAUUUAAAGAAUAAACUGCUUGUCCGUUUUAGUGGUAUUCUUGCCAGUUGAAACAGACUUAUAAUUACAUUAAAAAAUAGGGAAAG
rnacentral:lncRNA from 1 species